UUCAAAUACUGGUUCCCAUACAACCACCGAAGUUAAGCAACACCAAGCUGGGUCAGUACCUAGAUGGUGACCACUUGGGAAUAACAGGUGGUGUAAG